UAGAGCCUCAGUAUACAAAUAGCUCGUUUCGAAGCAACAUCCAAAUUCCGGUUAUACAGCCCAAAAAUUAUUUGUAAUAUAAUAAAUAUUUGGACAAUUAAAAUUUUAAAAGAAGGACAAAAAGUAAAACAACAUGAAUUCUUCAGCUAAACAUUUUUCGAUUUGGUUGGAAACCAGAGAUGUGGACACCUAUUCCGAGAUUGGCCCCAGCAGUCUUUAGCAGCUUCAGGAUCCCGUUGUCGCAGUGCAAGAACUUAUUAUUGCAAGAAGACAAAUCUUCCCCAGGAAGCCGCCAAUCGUGUUCACCAUCCAGAGGUUCUUCAAUCAAGAAAUGUGACAGCCAAUAUAUGUAAUUCAGAGACGACUAAAAGCCAGGCUUAACUUCCUCAAGACUGCAGCAGAGGAAUCGCUAAUUUGGCAUUGAAAUGUUCAGUGUUGAGAGUCCUUGCUGUCUUUCUUUGUGUUAUGUUGUGUAUACGAAAUAGAAACACUAAUAGAAACUAGGCACGCGACAACAAGAUGAAAUAUUUAUAUUAAAUAAAUGUUAUAUAUAUGUAUAUUGUAAUAUAU